rnacentral:rRNA from 1 species
GAUGAACGCUAGCGGCAGGCCUAACACAUGCAAGUCGAGGGGUAGAGUUAGCUUGCUAACUUGAGACCGGCGCACGGGUGCGUAACGCGUAUGCAAUCUACCUUGUACAGAGGGAUAGCCCAGAGAAAUUUGGAUUAAUACCUCAUAGUAUCUUUACCUGGCAUCGGGUAAUUAUUAAAGUUCCAACGGUACAAGAUGAGCAUGCGUCCCAUUAGUUAGUUGGUAAGGUAACGGCUUACCAAGACAAUGAUGGGUAGGGGUCCUGAGAGGGAGAUCCCCCACACUGGUACUGAGACACGGACCAGACUCCUACGGGAGGCAGCAGUGAGGAAUAUUGGUCAAUGGACGCAAGUCUGAACCAGCUAUGCCGCGUGCAGGAAGACGGUCCUAUGGGUUGUAAACUGCUUUUAUACAGGAAGAAACAACUCUACGUGUAGAGUCUUGACGGUACUGUAGGAAUAAGGAUCGGCUAACUCCGUGCCAGCAGCCGCGGUU